UACAGAGGGGGCAAGCGUUAUUCGGAAUUAUUGGGCGUAAAGGGCGCGUAGGCGGCUUUGCAAGUGGCGGGUGAAAUCCCUCGGCUUAACCGAGGAACUGCCUGCCAGACUGUGAGGCUUGAGACCGGGAGAGGUGAGUGGAAUUCCCAGUGUAGCGGUGAAAUGCGUAGAUAUUGGGAGGAACACCAGUGGCGAAGGCGGCUCACUGGACCAGUACUGACGCUGAGCCGCGAAAGCCAGGGGAGCGAACGGG
rnacentral:rRNA from 1 species